GUAUUGUUUGCACGUUAUGCAAAUUAUACAUUCCUUUACAUUCAGAGUGUGUAAAAAUACUCGAGUGCCAGUCUGACCAAAGUCAAACUCCCAAACCAGGGUAAGGCACUCAGAGUCAUGGAUGCACAGGUGUGUGGAUUUGCGACCCUAACGUGCACAUGUGUGACCACCAGCACCGGAAGGGCCGACUUUGAAGAUUCAUUAAUGAUCCUUCCGCAGGUUCACCUACGGAAA
rnacentral:misc_RNA from 1 species